rnacentral:rRNA from 1 species
CGUAAACGUUGGGCACUAGUUGUGGGAACCUUCCACGGUUUCUGCGACGCAGCUAACGCAUUAAGUGCCCCGCCUGGGGAGUACGAUCGCAAGAUUAAAACUCAAAGGAAUUGACGGGGCCCCGCACAAGCAGCGGAGCAUGCGGCUUAAUUCGACGCAACGCGAAGAACCUUACCAAGGCUUGACAUAUACAGGAAUAUGGCAGAAAUGUCAUAGCCGCAAGGUCUGUAUACAGGUGGUGCAUGGUUGUCGUCAGCUCGUGUCGUGAGAUGUUGGGUUAAGUCCCGCAACGAGCGCAACCCUCGUUCUGUGUUGCCAGCAUUUAGUUGGGGACUCACAGGAGACUGCCGGGGUUAACUCGGAGGAAGGUGGGGAUGACGUCAAAUCAUCAUGCCCCUUAUGUCUUGGGCUGCACGCAUGCUACAAUGGCUGGUACAAACGGCUGCGAUACCGCAAGGUGGAGCGAAUCCGAUAAAGCCAGUCUCAGUUCGGAUUGGGGUCUGCAACUCGACCCCAUGAAGUCGGAGUUGCUAGUAAUCGUAGAUCAGCAACGCUACGGUGAAUACGUUCCCGGGGCUUGUACACACCGCCCGUCACGUCACGAAAGU